UAUAAAACUUUCAUUUUUCAUUCUGUCAAAAUAAUAAAGCCCUCAGAAAGCUUACUGUAAAGCGCUUUACGAUAAUAAUAAUUAUUCAGAAAACUAUCCGGUGAUUUACGACCCGUAAUUAACAAGUUGUCAGAUAUUUCAAACAAAAAAUAGUUUUGAAAAUUAAGAAGAAAAAUUCCUGAGUUUUAGGGGAGUUGACUAUUGAGAAAAUACCGUCUGAAUGUUCCAAAUGAUGAUUGUAAAUAUGGCGGUUCUGUACAAAACCAUUCUAUAAAAUUUAAAGGCUUUCUAAAGGUUUAGCACAUGGGAGCAUCGGGAAGAUGUAUGAUUUGGCCACAUACGGCGUUAAUUGCAAAUAAAUGAAAAUGUUUUUUUUUGUAUUUGUUUCAAUGAAACCAAUCUGUGGCAAUGGAAAUGUCGAAAAUAUCCGAAUUUCACUGUGAUCGACUGUUGAACGUACGGCAGGAUAAUAUUUUUACCAUAGCAACGUAUUGUUUAGGUUUUUUUUACAUUUAGUAGUUUUGAAAAUAUAUAUUCAAUAUAUGUUCAUUUUAAAUUCAUCUGUAGCCUGAAAAGAAACACGGUAGUACAUGUAUGUAUAUGUAUAUA